CAAUCCCUGCUAUUCUCCUCAUCUCACACACCUUUCUCUUUCAACAUCAACUUUUAGGUAUUCAUAUUCCCUGUCUCUCCUCGAGAAACACUCCAGCCCAGAACAAUUAUAUCGCCUUUCAUUCAUCUCUGAUCUCUUCAGAGUCCAAACUCAAACUCCUCCUUUUCUGGAUUCUUGAUUAGCAGUCUUUGACAGUUUAAAGGCAUACUUCAUAUCUUCAAAUCGCUCCAUAAAUUGCAUGUCUUUGAUGCCUUUUGCUGAGAUCAGGAGAUGCUAAAAACCAUUGAUAAAAAUUCAAUCUUGGUCAUUCUAUGCACGGAUUCUUUUUAUUUUCAGCCUCAGGGUUUUAACAGGUAUUCAGCUGUCAAGGUUUGAUUGUUCGGCCCGUCUUGCCUUAUCAUGGCAUCUAUUGGUAAACUUGCUCCAGAAUUUGCUGAUAGUUAAGGAUUCUUCAAUGUAGGUGUUUCAAAAUGCCAUUGCAGAUCCCUGUGUGCAUCCUUUCUAAUAUAGAUGCUCUUCAUUUUGGCUUGAGUUAGUCUGCACCAAGAGUUGAUUCUAACUUGGUUACCUGGAGCUCUGCUACUAUUUCAUGGAACUUAAGGCAAAACUUUGCAGUUGGAAGAUAAAGUCCUCAAUGUACAGGAGACAUUCUGACCAUGCUUCUUCUUGAAAAGCUUGAACUCCCAACAUCAAAAUAGUGUUAUUCGGUCUUUAAGGAGAUUUUGCAAGCUCUACAGUUCAGAUGUUACAGUAGAAUGACAUUUAGGAUAAAGAGCUUGUUACUUUUGAAUGUUUGACCUGCUUUGGCUACAAAGGCUUUUUCCCUGUUUUUAGAAUACAUGAAGGCUUCCUUUUGGUUGGUAAUAGAUUGUGCCUGGUAUAAUCAAUAAUCAACCUACUUACCUAUAGUUGAACGUACGGUUACAUAUCUCCUUGUUUCAUUGAGUAGUUUAAUGACAGAAGAAGAUCAAAAGGUGAACUUUCCAAUAAAGUGACCUGUUACUCUAUGGUAGCAUGACCUUUUGAAGUGUCUGGUUGAGGAGGAUUUUGUAAUAUGAAUAUUUCUCCUGUUGAACCCU